rnacentral:misc_RNA from 1 species
AACGCACAUUGCGCCCCUUGGCAUUCCGAGGGGCAUGCCUGUCCGAGCGUCAUGUACGCCAAUCGAGCCCUCGUGCUUGGUCUUGGGCGGUGCUAGUGGUGGCAGGCCUCAAAUCCAGUGGCGGCGUCGUCAGAGCCCACGCGUAGUACACUCUCGCUACGGGCCCUGGCGGGCGAGGCGCCAGCGAACCGUUCGUCAGAACUUAGGGUUGACCUCGGAUCAGGCAGGAAUACCCGCUGAACUUAA